rnacentral:rRNA from 1 species
GGGCCCGCACAAGCGGUGGAGUAUGUGGUUUAAUUCGAUGCAACGCGAAGAACCUUACCAGGUCUUGACAUGUCACUUUUUUCUUGAAAAAGAAAGUUUCCCGAGUGAACACAGGUGGUGCAUGGCUGUCGUCAGCUCGUGUCUUGAGAUGUUGGGUUAAGUCCCGCAACGAGCGCAACCCUUACCCUUUAGUUACUACACGUAAUGGUGAGCACUUAAGGGGACUGCCUGCGCAAGCAGGAGGAAGGUGGGGACGACGUCAAGUCAUCAUGGCCCUUACGACCAGGGCUACACACGUGCUACAAUGGCGUUCACAGAGGGGAUGCUAACCCCGCGAGGGGAGCUAAUCCCCAGAAAGUUCGUCUCAG